AUCGCUUCUCGGCCUUUUGGCUAAGAUCAAGUGUAGUAUCUGUUCUCAGUGAAUCAAGUAGCAUUCACUGAGACAUGUGGCUCAGAUCUGACUUCUUAUGGUCAAUCGUCUGUUUGCUACAGCAAUUUUCCUACUCAAACUAUGAGGUCUCUUCAAGUCCCACUCUUUGCCAUAUGCCUCCCUAAUU
rfam:Nomascus leucogenys chromosome 25, whole genome shotgun sequence.